rnacentral:rRNA from 1 species
CUUUGGCUGUCUGAAUUGUAAUCUAGAGAAGUGCUUACCUGUGCUGGACCAUGUACAAGUCUCCUGGAAUGGAGCGUCAUAGAGGGUGAGAAUCCCGUCUCUGACAUGGACUCCCGGUGCGCUGUGGUGUGCUCUCAAAGAGUCGAGUUGUUUGGGAAUGCAGCUCUAAAUGGGUGGUAAACUCCAUCUAAAGCUAAAUAUUGGCGAGAGACCGAUAGCGAACAAGUACCGUGAGGGAAAGAUGAAAAGGACUUUGGAAAGAGAGUUAAACAGUAUGUGAAAUUGUUGAAAGGGAAACGCUUGAAGUCAGUUAUAUCUGCUAGUGAUCAACCUGGCUUAUUUGCUGGGUGAAUUUUUUAGUAUGAUAGGCCAGCAUCAGUUUUGACUGUCAGAAAAGAGUAUAAGGAAUGUGGCCCCUUUGGGUGUGUUAUAACCUUGUGUUAUAUAUGGCAGUUGGGAAUGAGGGAAAUGCAGCGCGCCAUUUAGGCAGGGUUUUGGGACCCCGUUUGCGCUUAGGAUGUUGGCAGUAUUUUUUGAUGGCUUCAAUCGACCCGUCUUGAAACACGGACCAAGGAGUCUAACAUGCGUGCGAGUGUUUGAGUGUGGAAACUCUUGUGCAUAAUGAAAGUAAAAGUUGAGAUCCCUGUCGUGGGGAGCAUCGACGCCCGGACCUGAGCUUUUAGCAAAGGAUCUGCGGUUGAGCAUGCAUGUUGGGACCCGAAAGAUGGUGAACUAUGCCUGAAUAGGGCAAAGCCAGAGGAAACUCUGGUGGAGG